rnacentral:piRNA from 1 species
AUUUCCUUAGCCAUUUUAAAUUUUGCCCAAAAGUUUCAAGAUUGAGAUGUUUUUUGAUGAAGUCAUUAAACAAAAAGGUUUUCUUCUGUUUCUUGGUUGUGUACAUGUGUCACAUUUGUGUGAGAACCUGGUAGGCGUGUGGUGUCAGAUGGGCUUACCACCAGAGCAUCGUGUUUGUGUCACGUGUUACACAGUGUGCAUCAGCGACCUGGUUGUUAUUACCAGGAGGUAAACAAACCUGGUCACGUGACAACGUGUGCAGAAACAUGCGCAAUAGGAUGUCCAAACUCGUCGAGACGAGUGGCAGAACAAGGACGCAUGUCACGUGACCAAACAGACAUGGGUGCAAUAACCUGGUCGAUCGCCGGGCCGCGUGGCUCGCCGCUGGUCCCCGAGUCAUGUGACCGCGCAGGCGUGAUUUCCGCUGUGUCAAGUACGAGACUUGGCAACGUGGAAAUCCCACCAGAAGCACUGUCCCGCGAACAGGGCCCAGCAGAAGUGCCAGGCCAAGAAAUUGGUGAAAUAAUUGCCUGCAUUUAAAAAUAUAUAAUAAAUAAUCAAAAUUGAUUUCUCCUCUUUAAUUUCUUUUAUUUUAUGCAGGGCUUUUCUGAACCGGGCUUUGCUUGAUUUGAAAUAAGUUGUGGACUUACCAACUUUAUGUCCUUUUACCCGGUCCCAGCUCAUAAAAACUUUAUGAUCUUCUUUAGUAUAGGUAGUAUUUUUUCUUGUGUCAAUAUAUUUAACUUGAAAUAAUGAAAAUUUCCUUAGCCAUUUUAAAUUUUGCCCAAAAGUUUCAAGAUUGAGAUGUUUUUUGAUGAAGUCAUUAAACAAAAAGGUUUUCUUCUGUUUCUUGGUUGUGUACAUGUGUCACAUUUGUGUGAGAACCUGGUAGGCGUGUGGUGUCAGAUGGGCUUACCACCAGAGCAUCGUGUUUGUGUCACGUGUUACACAGUGUGCAUCAGCGACCUGGUUGUUAUUACCAGGAGGUAAACAAACCUGGUCACGUGACAACGUGUGCAGAAACAUGCGCAAUAGGAUGUCCAAACUCGUCGAGACGAGUGGCAGAACAAGGACGCAUGUCACGUGACCAAACAGACAUGGGUGCAAUAACCUGGUCGAUCGCCGGGCCGCGUGGCUCGCCGCUGGUCCCCGAGUCAUGUGACCGCGCAGGCGUGAUUUCCGCUGUGUCAAGUACGAGACUUGGCAACGUGGAAAUCCCACCAGAAGCACUGUCCCGCGAACAGGGCCCAGCAGAAGUGCCAGGCCAAGAAAUUGGUGAAAUAAUUGCCUGCAUUUAAAAAUAUAUAAUAAAUAAUCAAAAUUGAUUUCUCCUCUUUAAUUUCUUUUAUUUUAUGCAGGGCUUUUCUGAACCGGGCUUUGCUUGAUUUGAAAUAAGUUGUGGACUUACCAACUUUAUGUCCUUUUACCCGGUCCCAGCUCAUAAAAACUUUAUGAUCUUCUUUAGUAUAGGUAGUAUUUUUUCUUGUGUCAAUAUAUUUAACUUGAAAUAAUGAAAAUUUCCUUAGCCAUUUUAAAUUUUGCCCAAAAGUUUCAAGAUUGAGAUGUUUUUUGAUGAAGUCAUUAAACAAAAAGGUUUUCUUCUGUUUCUUGGUUGUGUACAUGUGUCACAUUUGUGUGAGAACCUGGUAGGCGUGUGGUGUCAGAUGGGCUUACCACCAGAGCAUCGUGUUUGUGUCACGUGUUACACAGUGUGCAUCAGCGACCUGGUUGUUAUUACCAGGAGGUAAACAAACCUGGUCACGUGACAACGUGUGCAGAAACAUGCGCAAUAGGAUGUCCAAACUCGUCGAGACGAGUGGCAGAACAAGGACGCAUGUCACGUGACCAAACAGACAUGGGUGCAAUAACCUGGUCGAUCGCCGGGCCGCGUGGCUCGCCGCUGGUCCCCGAGUCAUGUGACCGCGCAGGCGUGAUUUCCGCUGUGUCAAGUACGAGACUUGGCAACGUGGAAAUCCCACCAGAAGCACUGUCCCGCGAACAGGGCCCAGCAGAAGUGCCAGGCCAAGAAAUUGGUGAAAUAAUUGCCUGCAUUUAAAAAUAUAUAAUAAAUAAUCAAAAUUGAUUUCUCCUCUUUAAUUUCUUUUAUUUUAUGCAGGGCUUUUCUGAACCGGGCUUUGCUUGAUUUGAAAUAAGUUGUGGACUUACCAACUUUAUGUCCUUUUACCCGGUCCCAGCUCAUAAAAACUUUAUGAUCUUCUUUAGUAUAGGUAGUAUUUUUCUUCUGUCAAUAUAUUUAACUUGAAAUAAUGAAAAUUUCUUCAGCCAUUUUAAAUUUUGCCCAAAAGUUUCAAGAUUGAGAUGUUUUUUGAUGAAGUCAUUAAACAAAAAGGUUUUCUUCUGUUUCUUGGUUGUGUACAUGUGUCACAUUUGUGUGAGAACCUGGUAGGCGUGUGGUGUCAGAUGGGCUUACCACCAGAGCAUCGUGUUUGUGUCACGUGUUACACAGUGUGCAUCAGCGACCUGGUUGUUAUUACCAGGAGGUAAACAAACCUGGUCACGUGACAACGUGUGCAGAAACAUGCGCAAUAGGAUGUCCAAACUCGUCGAGACGAGUGGCAGAACAAGGACGCAUGUCACGUGACCAAACAGACAUGGGUGCAAUAACCUGGUCGAUCGCCGGGCCGCGUGGCUCGCCGCUGGUCCCCGAGUCAUGUGACCGCGCAGGCGUGAUUUCCGCUGUGUCAAGUACGAGACUUGGCAACGUGGAAAUCCCACCAGAAGCACUGUCCCGCGAACAGGGCCCAGCAGAAGUGCCAGGCCAAGAAAUUGGUGAAAUAAUUGCCUGCAUUUAAAAAUAUAUAAUAAAUAAUCAAAAUUGAUUUCUCCUCUUUAAUUUCUUUUAUUUUAUGCAGGGCUUUUCUGAACCGGGCUUUGCUUGAUUUGAAAUAAGUUGUGGACUUACCAACUUUAUGUCCUUUUACCCGGUCCCAGCUCAUAAAAACUUUAUGAUCUUCUUUAGUAUAGGUAGUAUUUUUUCUUGUGUCAAUAUAUUUAACUUGAAAUAAUGAAAAUUUCCUUAGCCAUUUUAAAUUUUGCCCAAAAGUUUCAAGAUUGAGAUGUUUUUUGAUGAAGUCAUUAAACAAAAAGGUUUUCUUCUGUUUCUUGGUUGUGUACAUGUGUCACAUUUGUGUGAGAACCUGGUAGGCGUGUGGUGUCAGAUGGGCUUACCACCAGAGCAUCGUGUUUGUGUCACGUGUUACACAGUGUGCAUCAGCGACCUGGUUGUUAUUACCAGGAGGUAAACAAACCUGGUCACGUGACAACGUGUGCAGAAACAUGCGCAAUAGGAUGUCCAAACUCGUCGAGACGAGUGGCAGAACAAGGACGCAUGUCACGUGACCAAACAGACAUGGGUGCAAUAACCUGGUCGAUCGCCGGGCCGCGUGGCUCGCCGCUGGUCCCCGAGUCAUGUGACCGCGCAGGCGUGAUUUCCGCUGUGUCAAGUACGAGACUUGGCAACGUGGAAAUCCCACCAGAAGCACUGUCCCGCGAACAGGGCCCAGCAGAAGUGCCAGGCCAAGAAAUUGGUGAAAUAAUUGCCUGCAUUUAAAAAUAUAUAAUAAAUAAUCAAAAUUGAUUUCUCCUCUUUAAUUUCUUUUAUUUUAUGCAGGGCUUUUCUGAACCGGGCUUUGCUUGAUUUGAAAUAAGUUGUGGACUUACCAACUUUAUGUCCUUUUACCCGGUCCCAGCUCAUAAAAACUUUAUGAUCUUCUUUAGUAUAGGUAGUAUUUUUUCUUGUGUCAAUAUAUUUAACUUGAAAUAAUGAAAAUUUCCUUAGCCAUUUUAAAUUUUGCCCAAAAGUUUCAAGAUUGAGAUGUUUUUUGAUGAAGUCAUUAAACAAAAAGGUUUUCUUCUGUUUCUUGGUUGUGUACAUGUGUCACAUUUGUGUGAGAACCUGGUAGGCGUGUGGUGUCAGAUGGGCUUACCACCAGAGCAUCGUGUUUGUGUCACGUGUUACACAGUGUGCAUCAGCGACCUGGUUGUUAUUACCAGGAGGUAAACAAACCUGGUCACGUGACAACGUGUGCAGAAACAUGCGCAAUAGGAUGUCCAAACUCGUCGAGACGAGUGGCAGAACAAGGACGCAUGUCACGUGACCAAACAGACAUGGGUGCAAUAACCUGGUCGAUCGCCGGGCCGCGUGGCUCGCCGCUGGUCCCCGAGUCAUGUGACCGCGCAGGCGUGAUUUCCGCUGUGUCAAGUACGAGACUUGGCAACGUGGAAAUCCCACCAGAAGCACUGUCCCGCGAACAGGGCCCAGCAGAAGUGCCAGGCCAAGAAAUUGGUGAAAUAAUUGCCUGCAUUUAAAAAUAUAUAAUAAAUAAUCAAAAUUGAUUUCUCCUCUUUAAUUUCUUUUAUUUUAUGCAGGGCUUUUCUGAACCGGGCUUUGCUUGAUUUGAAAUAAGUUGUGGACUUACCAACUUUAUGUCCUUUUACCCGGUCCCAGCUCAUAAAAACUUUAUGAUCUUCUUUAGUAUAGGUAGUAUUCUUUCUUGUGUCAAUAUAUUUAACUUGAAAUAAUGAAAAUUUCUUAGCCAUUUUAAAUUUUGCCCAAAAGUUUCAAGAUUGAGAUGUUUUUUGAUGAAGUCAUUAAACAAAAAGGUUUUCUUCUGUUUCUUGGUUGUGUACAUGUGUCACAUUUGUGUGAGAACCUGGUAGGCGUGUGGUGUCAGAUGGGCUUACCACCAGAGCAUCGUGUUUGUGUCACGUGUUACACAGUGUGCAUCAGCGACCUGGUUGUUAUUACCAGGAGGUAAACAAACCUGGUCACGUGACAACGUGUGCAGAAACAUGCGCAAUAGGAUGUCCAAACUCGUCGAGACGAGUGGCAGAACAAGGACGCAUGUCACGUGACCAAACAGACAUGGGUGCAAUAACCUGGUCGAUCGCCGGGCCGCGUGGCUCGCCGCUGGUCCCCGAGUCAUGUGACCGCGCAGGCGUGAUUUCCGCUGUGUCAAGUACGAGACUUGGCAACGUGGAAAUCCCACCAGAAGCACUGUCCCGCGAACAGGGCCCAGCAGAAGUGCCAGGCCAAGAAAUUGGUGAAAUAAUUGCCUGCAUUUAAAAAUAUAUAAUAAAUAAUCAAAAUUGAUUUCUCCUCUUUAAUUUCUUUUAUUUUAUGCAGGGCUUUUCUGAACCGGGCUUUGCUUGAUUUGAAAUAAGUUGUGGACUUACCAACUUUAUGUCCUUUUACCCGGUCCCAGCUCAUAAAAACUUUAUGAUCUUCUUUAGUAUAGGUAGUAUUCUUUCUUCUGUCAAUAUAUUUAACUUGAAAUAAUGAAAAUUUCCUUCAGCCAUUUUAAAUUUUGCCCAAAAGUUUCAAGAUUGAGAUGUUUUUUGAUGAAGUCAUUAAACAAAAAGGUUUUCUUCUGUUUCUUGGUUGUGUACAUGUGUCACAUUUGUGUGAGAACCUGGUAGGCGUGUGGUGUCAGAUGGGCUUACCACCAGAGCAUCGUGUUUGUGUCACGUGUUACACAGUGUGCAUCAGCGACCUGGUUGUUAUUACCAGGAGGUAAACAAACCUGGUCACGUGACAACGUGUGCAGAAACAUGCGCAAUAGGAUGUCCAAACUCGUCGAGACGAGUGGCAGAACAAGGACGCAUGUCACGUGACCAAACAGACAUGGGUGCAAUAACCUGGUCGAUCGCCGGGCCGCGUGGCUCGCCGCUGGUCCCCGAGUCAUGUGACCGCGCAGGCGUGAUUUCCGCUGUGUCAAGUACGAGACUUGGCAACGUGGAAAUCCCACCAGAAGCACUGUCCCGCGAACAGGGCCCAGCAGAAGUGCCAGGCCAAGAAAUUGGUGAAAUAAUUGCCUGCAUUUAAAAAUAUAUAAUAAAUAAUCAAAAUUGAUUUCUCCUCUUUAAUUUCUUUUAUUUUAUGCAGGGCUUUUCUGAACCGGGCUUUGCUUGAUUUGAAAUAAGUUGUGGACUUACCAACUUUAUGUCCUUUUACCCGGUCCCAGCUCAUAAAAACUUUAUGAUCUUCUUUAGUAUAGGUAGUAUUUUUUCUUGUGUCAAUAUAUUUAACUUGAAAUAUUAUAUUUUUCUUCAGCCAUUUCAAUUUUUUCCCAAAAUUUCCAAGAUUAAGAUGUUUUUUUAGGAAAUCAUUAUACAAUAAUGUCGGAAGAAAACGGCUCCUGGGCCGCUGGCUGAGUCGAGUGUUCUGGCUCCUCCAGGGCCGCGGUGUCGCUUCCUGGUGUCUUCUUGCUCCUCGUAGAUGGUGCGCUCUUUUGGGCCAGUUUUUCAACCGUAGAGCAAUCCUGGUGGUGUUUCUGCAGGUCUUUGAAGCUUUGUUGGCAGACCGUGCAGUCAAAAACCACGUUGUUGAUCUUGUGUAGAACACGAAGGUGCUUCACCAGAUCAUUGUGGUUUUUGUAGACACCACUGCGGGUUACUCCCGCCAUCCUGUAACACUCGGGACAUUUAAAGACCUCAGGUAGCUGGAACGGCAUCCUAAACGGAUCACAAAGAGCGGGGGCAAGGUUGUGUACAUGUGUCACAUUUGUGUGAGAACCUGGUAGGCGUGGGAGGUCAUUAGGGACUAACAAGAAGUGCUCCUAAAUCGAGAGAAGCUUUUAACUUCAGUAGUAUCCAGAAUCCUUACCACGGGUGGGGGGUCAUUAGGGACUGACAAGAAGUGCUCCUAAAUCGAGAGAAACUUUUAACUUCAGUAGUAUCCAGAAGCCUUACGACUGGUGGGGGGGUCAUUAGGGACUGACAAGAAGUGCUCCUAAAUCAAGAGAAGCUUUUAACUUCAGUAGUAUCCUGAAGCCUUACCACGGGUGGGGGGUCAUUAGGGACUGACAAGAAGUGCUCCUAAAUCGAGAGAAGCUUUUAACUUCAGUAGUAUACAGAAACGUCCAGGGGUGGCGACAAUCACAUAGGGCCUCAGCUCGUGAAGCCUCCUCUGCUUCAAUUUUUGUUCCAUCGUAAAAUCACCGUAGCGCUAGGUGUGACCUUUAAAUAAAUUAGAAAUACCUUGGCGUGCGCGCACUGUUGAAUUUGAAAAAAAAAAAAAUGGGGGAAGGUCAAUCUUACCCAGAUUGAAAAUAGAGAUUCACCAGUUGUGUUUGCACAAGUUGUGGAAAUGAAUUUAACAAAAAUGGCAUAAAUAUAUAUUUUAUUUUGCUUAUCAAAAAUGACUGGGCAUCAAAAUAAAAAUAAAUAAAUAGAUAAAAAGGGUGAUAAUCAAAUUGGCCAAAAGGUUAGAUAUAUUUAAAAUUAGAAUAUAUAUAAACAAGUGAUAUAAAAUAAAUAUACAUACAAACAAAUAAUGUAGAGAGCUGACGAGACCGGAUCUUGGUGUGCAGCCGUGAGGUCUUGGGAACUAUAGAUUUGGUAGGAAUUUUGAAGGCCAAAUACUUUAUCCCAGAAUGUGAAUUCUCUGCCAGGGCAUGUGAAUUCCACACCAGCGCAAUCACAUAAAGAUACCCAGCAUACUGCCAUAGCAAGCUCUUUCAAAAUCUGUAGAGAUAUUUUGCCCAAAGAAGAGAAGCAAAAAAUACUUUUGAUUCCAGCAGGUUUAAAUACAAAUUGAAAUAAGAUUAAUAAACUAAUGUAAAUAUGUGAAAGAGUUGUAUAAAAGUGAAUUCCUGCUCCGCCUUUGGAAGGAGGGAUGAAGAGCACCUCGUUGCUGGCCUGCAGAGGCAGGCCAGGCCAUUUCUUCCCUAGUCUCUUCAUCAGCAGGUCCACUUCCCUGGAAGUCUUGUGGAUCGGGGAACCUCGAAGAAUGAAGUCGAGUCUUGUGCAGACGAAGGUCUUGGUGGCGUCGAUCUUCUGCCAGGGAGCGAGGAGGCUGCUAUGGAUUUUUUCUGCAUCUUCAUUGAUUCCCUUGAUGGCUUUCUCAGGGUUUCUUUUCUUGGUAAAUCCGGUGGGUACUCCAAGGUGGCAGUACGUGUCCUCUUGUCUCAUUGCUGAGAUUGGCUGUUCUUGGAUGCAGAAGGUCCUGGUCAGGGUAGUCCCUUUUUUUCCUGCAGUCCAGGUGAAGAGUCGCGCAUUUGGAGCCCUUGAAGUGGAGUCUGAUCUUUCCCGCCAGAUCGCCGGUGGUGUCCAGGGGUGCUUGUAGAGACUCCUUGUCCUUGGCCAUGAUAAGGAGGUCAUCGGCAUAGGCCAGCACCGACACAUAGUGCCAGAGUAAGCAGACACCAUGGUCCUUCGCCAUCGAGGCGAGGGUGCAGACUAUUACCUCUAUGGCAACGUUGAAGAGGGUUGGGCUUCCAGGGCAGCCUUGCUUCACCCCGCGUUUAAAGGGGAUGGGAGAUGUGGUUCCCAGCAGGGUCCUGAUCUAGGUAGAGGAGUUCGUGUACAGGUCCCUGAAUACAGCGAUUACCUUCUUAGGGAUACUAAAUGCAUCUAACACAUUGAAGAGGUUUUAGUGCGGUACCGAGCCGAAUGCAUUUCCAAGAUCCAGCCAGGCGAAGCAAGCUUGUCUGCUGGUUCUCUUGGUCUCCUCGAUGGCACUCUGGACCACAAAAUUAUCUUCAAGGCAACCCUCGAACUCCAGUCCCGUCGUCGCUGCCCAUCUCCUGAGCCUAUCAGCCAGGACCGCGGUGUAAAGUUUUGCGAUCGUGUUGCCCAGCGUGAUAGGCCUCCAGUUCCCUAGGUCCUCGGCGUCCUCUUUCUUGUGGAACAAGAUAGAGGAGCUUUCCUUCCAUGAAGGGGGUACCGCCCUCAUCUGGAAGCAGGCCUGGAAGAUCUGGGUGAGGAUGGUGGCAUUGGGAUCCACCCGUUUCAGUUCCUGGUAGCUGAUGCCGUCGGGACCAGGAACGGUGUUUCCCAUCUUGAGAAGGCGGUACCAUACUGCGUUGGAAGAGAUGGGUUCUUCCAACUGGGCUCCGUCCUGGGGGGCGAAGUCCUUGAGGAGAUCUGGGUCGGGGCUGAACUCGGUGUUGUCCCCAACGAUGCGUUUCUCGAAGUGUUCUUCGAUCAUCUGGAUAGGGAUGGUGCAGCCCGGGGAGCGUUGGCCCAAUUUUGGCAUUUAAGAAUGUAGAAAUAUUUUCCAUUAGUUUUUCCAACAUAGGAAACUUUUUUUUUUUUCAUAUUGAAUUUAUCUCCAUUUUUAACUUAAAUAAAGUAUUACCAAUUAAUUUGGCAUACAAAAUAAAAUUACCAACCUUAAAUUAAUUAGAAUAUUUUGUAAACAAACGAUUAUAUUAGGGGGCGUUUUGUUGGUCCAGUUCCACAGGCAGUCCUGUCGGUGUCUCUGAAGAAAUCGGCCGCUGGCUGAGUCGAGUGUUCCGGCUCCUCCAGGGCCGCAGAGUCGCUUCCAGGUGUCUUGCUCCUCGUAGAUGGUGCGCUCUUUUGGGCCCAUUUUUCAACCGUAGAGCAAUCCUGGUGGUGUUUGGCGCUUCUGCAGGUCCGCAGGUCUUUGAAGCUUUGUUGGCAGACCGUGGCUGCCACCAAGUCGAGUCUUGUGUAGACGAAGGUCUUGGUGGCGUCGAUCUUCUGCCAAGUAGUGAGUAGGCUGUUGUUGAUUUUUUUCCACAUCCUCCUUGAUUCCCUUGAUGGCUUCUCCGGGGUUCCUUGGCUUGUUGAAUCUGGUGGGUACUCCAAGGUGACAGUACGUGUCCUCUUCUCUCAUUGCUGAGAUUGGCUGUUCUUGGAUGCAAUGUCAGCAAUGGGUAUGCUAUCGCAUGCUCCGGUUUAUGGACCGAAAGGUCUGGGUGGCCACUGCUCCUAGGAUGUUCUUGGAUGCAGAAGGUCGUGGGCAGGGUAGUCCUCUUUUUCCUGCAGUCCAAGUGAAGAGUCGCGCAUUUGGGGCCCUUGAAGUGGAGUCCGAUCUUUCCGGCCAGAUCGCCGGUGGUGUCCAGGGGCGCUUGUAGAGACUCCUUGUCCUUGGCCAUGAUAAGGAGGUCAUCGGCAUAGGCCAGCACCGACACAUGGUGCCUAAGUAAGCAGACACCAUGGUCCUUCGCCAUCGAGGCGAGGGUGCGGACUACCUCUAUGGCCACGUAGGGGGGGUUUUGUUGGUCCAGUUCCACAGGCGGUUCUGUCGGAGUCUCGGAAGAAAUCGGCUCCUGGGCCGCUGGCUGAGUCGAGUGUUCUGGCUCCUCCAGGGCCGCGGUGUCGCUUCCAGGUGUCUUCUUGCUCCUCGUAGAUGGUGCGCUCUUUUGGGCCCGUUUUUCAACCGUAGAGCAAUCCUGGUGGUGUUUCUGCAGGUCCGCAGGUCUUUGAAGCUUUGUUGGCAGACCGUGCAGUCAAAAACCACGUUGUUGAUCUUGUGUAGAACACGAAGGUGCUUCACCAGAUAGUUGUGCUGCUUGUAGACACCACUGCGGUUACUCUCGCCAUCCCGUAACACUCGGGACAUUUAAAGACCUCAGGUAGCGGGAACGGCAUCCUAAACGGAUCACAAAGAGCAGGGGCAAGGUUGUGUACAUGUGUCACAUUUGUGUGAGAACCUGGUAGACGUGUGGUGUCAGACGGGCUUACCACCAGAGCAUCGUGUUUGUGUCACGUGUUACACAGUGUGCAUCAGCGACCUGGUUGUUAUUACCAGGAGGUAAACAAACCUGGUCACGUGUGCAGAAACAUGCGCAAUAGGAUGGCCAAACUUGUCGAGACGAGUGGCAGAACAAGGACGCAUGUCACGUGACCAAACAGACAUGGGUGCAAUAACCUGGUCGAUCGCCGGGCCACGCGGCGAUGGUGCAUUGCGAUGUGAUCUUGGAGAAGUGAUCUUUUCAUCUGUUCAUUUUCCUGCUCCUUCUUCAAUUCCGCCACCACAGCAUUGCCAAUUCUUAUGGCAUUGUCUGUUCUUUCUUGAUAAACUUGUACGACCUCUUCUUCAGACAUUCCUAGUUUGAAUUCCUUCAAUAUCUUGUUUUUCAACAUUUUCACCAUAUAGCCGAGGUCCACUUUGUUAGAUUUGGGAAGAAGUGUUAUUGCUAGGCCAGUAUUUCCAGCCAUAGCAGUACGGCCUACUCUCCUGGUAUAGUCUUCCUUCACGUUGGGGCGAUCGAAAUUUUUCACCGCCGAGACUUCACGGAAAUCCAUGCCCCUCCCUGCAACAUCUGUAGCCACCAUAUAAGAUUGGGAUUCCUCUUUGAACUUUCUCAAAUUCUUGUUCCGGUUAGCCCGAGCCAUAUCGCCAUGGAGCAUCAAUGGCCUGAAGCCAAGCGUUUCAAGAAUUCUGUGCAGCUGAAUUUUGUUUUGCAGAACAUCAGCACUCUCUUACGAUGAAAGGGUCCUUCUAGAAAUGCUGCCAGAUAGUAUUCCUUGUGCUCCGUUAAACAGCGAAGGUAGAAAUGUUCUAGAUGGGGGCUAAUCAGUGUGUCUCCUCGGAUUUCCACAAAGUCUUGCAGAGAAAGUCUAUUGAGAUCUAUAUUCUCCGCAGACAUAGUGGCGGAGAACAGCAAGGUCUGCCUCUCCUUGGGCAGCAGGUUCAGGAUUUCAUCCAGGUCUUUUUCGUUUUUAAGAAUCCGGUCCGCUUCAUCCAGGACCAGCACUUUGAGACAUUUUAAAGAGAAGUUCUUGGUCUUAGUUAGAUGGUGAAGGAGGCGUCCAGGGGUGGCGACAAUCACAUGGGGCCUCAGCUCUUUGAGCAGCAGGGCCUGAUGUUCAUAGCUGUCCCCACCCGUUAAAUCAGUGUCGGGCAACCAUUUUCGACCGAACCGUGCAGUGGGAGUACGUUAAGCCAAGCACGGUAGAUGAACCUCCAGUCUGCAAAACGCAUGUAUCUCCCAUUGUUGAUGAAGCCAUUGGAAGAUGUCGAGCUUUAAACAAAGAAUUCGAAUCACUGGACGGCGUAACGUGGCUGGCUCGUGGGGGUGUCUUCUUCCUUGGCUUUCUUACAUUUGCAGGCCCCCACCUCAAUAUCUCCAAAUAAAAUGUAAAUAUCAGAACACACACAGAAGAAGGUAGUGGAUCUGCAACAGAAGACUUGUUUCGACAGGUGACCUCGUAGACCUUUUCCUGUUCAGACUUUUUAAUCAGAGUUUUCAGGUAGGAGUCUUGGAAGGCCUGCCCAAAGCCUUGCUAUGAUUUGUUCCCUAGCAACUGUGGGGAGGCUGAUUUCUUUGGGUGUCUUGUCAGCGUUGGGGAGCUUGAUUGUUAUGUCUCCCAGCGUUGGGUUGUGGACCCACUGAACGCCGAUCCUUUUUGAGAGGCGUUGAGAAGUGUUUCUGGCAUCACUGCAGAGUGAGGUGAUGUCUCCACCAACCCUGGCAAAAUCACCGUCAAGUUUCCCCGACGGAUACCCCGCCAGCUCCUCUUCCAGUGCAAGCCGUCCCAGCUUCCUCUCCGCAACUCUUUUAAGAAGGCUUUUGGUGAGUGCGGAGGUUUCAGAGUCUGGGCUCGUGAGGAGCCGGAAGGCGUGUUGGAUCUUGGCUAAAUCGGUCCUGUCACCAAACGGCACCAUUCCUGCUCCCCCUUUGGAAGGAGGGAUGAAGAGCACCUCAUUGCUGGCCUGCAGAGGCAGGCCAUUUCUUCCCUAGUCUCUUUAUCAGUAUGUCCACUUCUCUGAAGGCGGUCUUGUGUAGACGAAGGUCUUGGUGGCGUCGAUCUUCUGCCAAGUAGUGAGUAGGCUCUUGUUGAUUUUUUCCACAUCUUCUUUGAUGGCUUCUUCGGGUUCCUUGACUUGUUGAAGUUGGUGGGUACUCCAAGGUGGCAGUAUGUGUCCUCUUCUCUCAUUGCUGAGAUUGGCUGUUCUUGGAUGCAGAAGGUCGUGGGCAGAGUUGUAUUCUUUUUCCUGCAAUUCAAAUGAAGAGGUGCGCACUUGGAGCCCUUGAAGUGAAGUCCGAUCUUCCCCGCCAGAUCACUGGUGGUGUCCAGGAGUCCAUGGAGAGACUCCUUGUUCUUGGCCUACUACGUGGCCUACUAAUAUACUGACCAUGUUGGUACUCUAGCACUUCAUUAGACUCUGUUUGAGCACUAGUAACUGCAAAAAUUGAUUGGUCUGAACCCUUGUAUAUGUAUUUGCAGAUAUAUUUUAUAGCAGAGAUUGAAGCACAGGACUCAACAUUGCUGAGAUUGGCUGUUCUUGGAUGCAGAAGGUUGUGGGCAGAGUUGUAUUCUUUUUCCUGCAAUUCAAAUGAGUCGUGCACUUGGAGCCCUUGAAGUGAAGUCCGAUCUUCCCCGCCAGAUCACUGGUGGUGUCCAGGAAUCCAUGGAGAGACUCCUUGGCCUACUAAUAUACUGACCACAUUGAUACUCUAGCACUUCAUUAGACUCUGUUUGAGCACCGGUAACUGCAAAAAUUGAUUGGUCAUAACCCUUGUAUAUGUAUUUGCAGAUAUAUUUUAUAGCAGAGAUUGAAGCAUAGGACUCUAACAUUGAUGUGAGCAUCAAAUAGUCUGCAUAGAAGUGGUGGCACAACAUUAUCUAUAGUUACAUUGGUCAUGCCCACAACACCAUUCUCAAUGGUGAAACCUCUUACUCAUUUAACAAAAGAAAAGCCGUCUUCCUCAGGCUUGUGACGUCUAUAUACAGUCUAGCCAUAAAUUCUGUUACAAUUAUAUAAAUUAAAUGAUCAAAAACUAAUGGAAUAUAAAUACAUAUUUUAUUAGCCAAUAGGAUUUUAAAUAUAUACAAUCAUUCCAAAUAUCCCCCCUUAUUUUUGACACAGGAUCUCAAACGUUUGGGCCACUGAUCUAUGGCGGCACGCACCUUUUCUAAGGGUAUUUCUUUCAUUGCGCUCACCAAUGCUGAUUUCAAUUGAUCCAAAUUAUGAUAUCUUUUAGAGCACCUUCUCCUCUAAAUAUGCCCACAAACUGUAAUUAAGGGGGUUUAAAUCAGGGCUUCCAGAGGGCCAUUCAUUGGCCUUUAUGAACUCCGGAACAUUCAUCUCCAACCAUGUUGAGUUGACUUAGCUUUGUGAGCAGGAGCUGAAUCUUGUUGAAAUAUCCAAUGUUCUCCAUUAAACAUUUUUGUAUUCAGAGGCUUUACUAUUUGUUCCAAAAUAUCUUCUUGAUAUUUUUUAGUUGUAGUUUUUACCACUUUGGCACAGAAGUGGAGAAACCUUCCACAGUAGAAGUUGGUUUCAUGGCUCUAUGUAAUCUAUCAGAAAUUGAUAUACAAGGUGUGUCCAAUAAAUAACGAGACUGGUCAAAAAUAAAAAAAUUAUUAGUAUUUUUCAAAAUAGUCCCCUCCCGCAUCUAUACAUAAUUUCCAUCUCUUCUCCCAUGAUUUAAAACAUUUAGAAAAGGCAUCUUUCGGGAUGUUCUUCAAGACCUUUUUCGAAUCCGCUAUGAUGGACUCUCUAGUGUCAAAUAUCCUUCCUUUUAGAGCCAUUAUGAGUUAUGGAAAGAGAAAAAAAUCAUUUGGAGCUAGGUCUGGGGAAUAGGGAGGUUGUGUGUGUGUUGAAGUAUUUGGAUGCUGUGUUUAGCCAAAUAAGUCAGUACAGAUGUAGCAGUGUGUGGUGGUGCAUUAUCAUGAUGGAUAAUCCAAUUUUUGGAACUCCACAUUUCACUUCUUUUCAGACGAAUUGAUUCACAUACACAUCUCAUAAUAUAAAGGACUGCGGUGUAUGAUUAUAAAGUAAUACUUAAAGCCUCCCCGCAUAAGUUUCUUUUUUUGUGAAAAUCAAUAUUAAUUUCAAAGAGAAAUAUGUACUAUUUCUAACUUUUUGGAUGACGUAUGAAAAGGUUGAAUAUAUGAAGAGUAAUGGUCUAUAUAUGACAUCUCAUAAUGUUUAAAUAAGACUCCUUAUUGAUAUAUAAACGGGCGUACCUGGAUCUGUAAAGAAAAAAAAAAAUUCUCAAAAUAUUUCGAGAGAUUGCUCCCUCUUUAUCAAUUUAUUGCACAGUGAAUUUAAUUUACAAAUUAUUGUAGAUCACAUGAAAACAAAUUUUUCAUUGGUCAAAAACAAUUAUUGAUAAUAAUACAUUAAAAAAAUUAAUAAUAAUACAAUAAAAAUAUGAAAAUUAAAGGCUUUUUAGAAUGCAGUUGAUUGUUUGACCUUCCUCUAGAUAUUCAUAAUGCACAAUUCCCUUUAUGUCAAAGAACGUGACCAAUAAGACUUUGUUUUUUGACUUGCAAAGUCGGGAUUUCUUCGUUCUUGGUUCAUCUUUUCCUUUCCAAUCCAUGGAUUGGCGUUUUGUUUUAGGGUCAUACCCGUAAACCCAAGUCUCGUCUCCAGUUA